GGAGGUGUGGCUCAGGUGGUAGAGCCAGUCAAGCAAUCCAAGAAAGUAGACAAAGUAUGAGGCCAGAGUUCAAAUCCCAGCACUUCCA
rnacentral:tRNA from 1 species